UACAGCUUGUCAAAUGGGUGAAAGUGUGAAGCAAACAUAAAAAUUAUGGCAGCAGGACAGAAUCUGUUUCAAAGUAAAACAGACUCUGUUCAUAUUGGGUUCUGUUUUUCUACAAACACUGAAAUCUAACCAACCUUGAAGUGAUUUCCAAAGUCCAACCAGUGAGCUUUCCAGAAUAGAGUUGGAUAUAAAUCAGGUUUCCAUUAUUUGGUGGGGCAGAGGGUAUCUCAUAAACAGUUUGAUACCAGCACUCAAACAAGGACUAAAAAAGUAAACAUUUCAAGGGAACUCUUCCUGCAUGAACUCCCUUUUGCUGAUGACCCCACUAAUGACAAUGAAACACAAUUCACUCUUCAUAAACAGUAGAACAAGGGAAGAGGGCCUGUGCAGGAGAGGCCCUGGCUAGGAUGGAGCUCUUCCUGUUCUUCAGCACUCUGCUCCAGAACUUCACCUUCUACCUGGAUGGGGACACCAAAGACACGGAUAUAAUGUCUCUGUUUAUGAUCUUCCAGAAUAAGAAUCAAUCCCCCCUUAUACGAGCCGUUAAACGUUCAGUGGACAGUUGUGUUCUAUAAUUAGGAGAAAGUAACAAAAUAUGUGGGAUGGCUAUUACACGUUAAGGCAAUCGUAAAAUUGAUGUGGAAUACCAAUACAAUAAUUUUUAUAGCAAAGAUAGCUACUUUUACCUAUGAUUAGACUACAUGUUUUGGCUCAGUUAAGAAAAGUUUCAUUGAUGUUUCUCUAAGCUACAUUCUGCAAAUUAGCAAUAUAUAAUUUGUAGUGGAGAUUUUAACUUUAUACAAUGUUCUCAGAACUAUGAGAAACUGAGUUUGUGGACUUAUAUUUGAAAAUAAAGGUGAUCUUUUAUUGAUA